rnacentral:rRNA from 1 species
ACGAGGGUGGACAGGUGGUGCAUGGUUGUCGUCAGCUCGUGUCGUGAGAUGUUGGGUUAAGUCCCGCAACGAGCGCAACCCUCGACCUUAGUUGCCAGCAUUCAGUUGGGCACUCUAAGGUGACUGCCGGCUAAAAGUCGGAGGAAGGUGGGGGAUGACGUCAAAUCAUCAUGCCCCUUAUGACCUGGGCUACACACGUGCUACAAUGGGCGGUACAAAGGGUCGCGAACCCGCGAGGGGGAGCCAAUCCCAAAAAGCCGCUCUCAGUUCGGAUUGCAGGCUGCAACUCGCCUGCAUGAAGCCGGAAUCGCUAGUAAUCGCGGAUCAGCAUGCCGCGGUGAAUACGUUCCCGGGCCUU